rnacentral:rRNA from 1 species
CCUACGGGAGGCAGCAGUGGGGAAUAUUGCGCAAUGGGCGAAAGCCUGAUGCAGCGACGCCGCGUGAGGGAUGAAGGUUUUCGGAUCGUAAACCUCUGUCAGAAGGGAAGAAUUUUCAUGGGGCCAAUCACCUGUGCCUCGACGGUAUCUUCAAAGGAAGCACCGGUGAACUCCGUGCCAGCAGCCGCGGUAAUACGGAGGGUGCGAGCGUUAAUCGGAAUUACUGGGCGUAAAGCGCACGUAGGCUGUAUGUCAAGUCAAGUGUGAAAUCCAACGGCUCAACCGUGUAACUGCCUUUGAAACUGGCAAACUGGAGUAUGUGAGAGGGUGGCGGAAUUCCUGGUGUAGGAGUGAAAUGCGUAGAUAUCAGGAGGAACAUCAGUGGCGAAGGCGGCCGCCUGGCACAAAACUGACGCUGAGGUGCGAAAGCGUGGGUAGCAAACAGGAUUAGAUACCCUGGUAGUC